rnacentral:rRNA from 1 species
GAUGAACGCUGGCGGCGUGCCUAAUACAUGCAAGUCGAGCGAACAGACGAGGAGCUUGCUCCUCUAACGUUAGCGGCGGACGGGUGAGUAACACGUGGAUAACCUACCUAUAAGACUGGGAUAACUUCGGGAAACCGGAGCUAAUACCGGAUAAUAUGUUGAACCGCAUGGUUCAAUAGUGAAAGACGGUUUCGCUGUCACUUAUAGAUGGAUCCGCGCCGCAUUAGCUAGUUGGUAAGGUAACAGCUUACCAAGGCAACGAUGCGCAGCCGACCUGAGAGGGUGAUCGGCCACACUGGAACUGAGACACGGUCCAGACUCCUACGGGAGGCAGCAGUAGGGAAUCUUCCGCAAUGGGCGAAAGCCUGACGGAGCAACGCCGCGUGAGUGAUGAAGGUCUUCGGAUCGUAAAACUCUGUUAUUAGGGAAGAACAAAUGUGUAAGUAACUAUGCACGUCUUGACGGUACCUAAUCAGAAAGCCACGGCUAACUACGUGCCAGCCGCCGCGGUAA